AAAGAAGACACUAAGAUUUUAAAACUGCAGUGUUUUUGAAGCUGAAAGACCAGGCUGCAGAUUUACAGUCCAGCAAAGAAUCGGAACAUACUUUUACAAGGGUGUGUUGUAUGGUUCAGUUGGAUUUGUCUGUGGCAUAAUUGGUCAAGGAAUUGCUAAUAUGAUAAUGACUGCCAAAAGGAGUGUCAGAAAAUCAGAUGAAGAUAUUCCUGUUCCACCUCUUGUUAAAAGUGCUGCUAUGUGGGGAAGCUGCUAAGUUAUCAGCUGAGACUGAGACAGUUGGGAGAUGUAGUGGUGGUGCUGCCUGAGGUCCACCAUGCUCUCUUGAAGGUUUUUUUCACUGAUCUUGUAUAUGGAGUUGAAACUUUUGAUGAUCCAAUAGUUGAUUCAAAGGUAUAAUUUCUGUUCUCUAUGCAAACUUGUUUUCGUAGCUUCAUGAUAGCCUUUUCCAAUUACUACCUCGUAUAAAAAGCAAUCAUUUUAUCAAGGAAUUUUAGACUGGCGUGAAAAAUAAAAUCUAAGUUGUAAGAGUUCUAUGGGCUAUGCCACACACCAUUAAAUGAAUCAAGGGGCAUUUGGAAUUGUAGUAUAUACUGACAAAGGGUUUCUUAUAUUGACAUCAUUAAAUCGAGGUAAUGCGUUGUGAUUUCAUUUGUAGAGUUAAUUUUAAUUUGGCUUGUGCGGAUAGUAUUUGUUACGGUGAUUAUGAAUAUUUGAUAGUUGUUACAUGGUUUUUGUUGCUAAGCUAAUAGUGCUUAUGGAUGCUCUUGGUUGGAUGAAUGUGCCAUCGGAACAUGGCCUCAGCAUACAAGUUUUCACUCACGAUGUUGCUUUCAGCCUCAGAGGAUUCAACGCUAUGUGCUGAAGUCCUAUAGCAAUUGUGUAUAGUUAUUCUAAAUUUCUUUUAGAAAGAAUAUAUAGCUGCAUCAUAUAUUUAAUAUAGCUGCAUCCAACGUUACUCGGACAUAAUACUUGCUCCCAUGGUACUAUACUGGUUAUGUCACUCUAAUAUUGGUAUUUCAUUUUAUAAUAUUGUUAUCUUAA